AAAAGCAUUGAGCUUGAGGGACUAGACUAAUCAAAAAAUGGAAUAACAUGGCAACAAUUACACUGAUGAGUGAGAGGGAAGCUACAGAUGCAUUCAGACACCUAUGGCACCGCAGACUCCACGCAUUCAGCAUUUCGUGUUUAGUAUCUUGUGUUUUUGAGAGCAGGGAUCCCACAUGGUCAAAGGAUCUAUGCUAAACUAUUGACAAGUCAACAUAACUGUGUCUGAAAUGAGAAGUACAGCCUCAUGUUUGAGCAGUUUUAGAAAAUAAGCCUGUUAAAACAGACUGCUGGUCUUCAUUCAUUUAUGACUCAAACAAUUUGGUGGGACCUGAGGAUGUCCAAGACUAACAAGUUCUCAGAAGUAAUAUGAUGCUUCUAGUCUGGGGACAAAUUGUUAAGAACUGCUGCUCUGUCAGCACCACUGGAAGUCAAUAGUAAUGCUCAACUCAGUGAGAAGAUAUUUAUCAGAUUCCCUUAUGAAUAAGGUUGUGGUUGAAGCACUUGGAGCCUCUUCAGAAAAUCAGGAAAGCAACGAGGAAGAGAAAAGAUUUCCCAAAAGGGAAGUUAGGAGUUGGAUACAUCAGAGUGUGCUGUGUAGAAGACAGUUGAAAUGGAAUUGCUUGAGUUCUUGAACACAUUCCUUUAUCUCAUACGGCAUGUGAAAUAAGAAAGUAUACAUAUGAAUAUGAAUAUGAAAUUUUUCUGUGAAUUUUUGAUAUGUUAUAUAUUUUUUCUGGUAUGAAUACCUUAUUUUAACAAAAAUGAAUACAAACAGACUUUACAUUCUGAAAGUCUCAAACUUUCACUUUUUUAAAGAAGAGAGAGACAAGCACAUUAGACUCAAUUUCAGGCAUGGAAAAACUAAUACCAGAUUUUUUUUUUUUGGUUCCAGGGAUCUAACUCAGGACCUUGCUCUUGGCAGGCAGGCACUUGUGCCGCUGAGCUAUAUCCUGGGCCCUAAUACGAGAUUUUUAAGUUAUAUAAACUAGCUGUAUUUUUAAUACCAUAAAAAUAGUGACAUUCACUAGUUUCAAGUGUACCUGUAAGAAGCACAUGGACAUAUAUUUGUGUAAAACCACAGUCUCAUGUCAAUACACAUCUAUGUGUUCGACACAUAUUUUCAUUAAUGUUUGGCAUAACUCUAUGAAUGUCAAACUGCACAAAUUGCUUUUAUGAUUGUGUUUGGGAAAUUGAAACAUACAAACAAUGUAGAUUAAGCAGCUGAAAAAGCUGCAGUUACCGCCUACAAGCACAUCAUAACAAGGCGUGGAGAACCACAGUUCUCCAGGAAUGACUUUGAAAUAUUUAAGGGGUUAUUUUACCAGAAAAGUUGUGAAAAAUGACACAGUCUCUAAAGAUUCAGAAAAUUAUAGAUUUUGCACAAUUACCAAAAUACGUGUUUAGAGAUUAGUACAACAGAACCUUUAGAUGAUUCUGAAGUGAUGUAAACUUUUUAUAGAGCUUGACACGAUCUAGUCCAAUGGUAAAAGAGAAUUUCAGAAAUAAAAGACACACUACUGACAACAUAUGUUGGGAGCCCAUGAGUUUCUUUCAUUCCAUCUUAUGAAUAUGAUCACCUCAACUCCCACCUUUCUCUGAUAUGAAAAUUGCCUUAAAUUUUGUCAUAUGUCCUUAUCUAUAACAUGAGAAUUGUUUAAUAUAGCACUUGCCCUGCUGAAUGUUAUUUGAAUUUAUUUGUUAAUGUACCUAAAAGUUUGCUUAGGAAGAAAAUGCUAGGCAUUAAUGCUUGUUCUAUUCUGAUAAAAUUUUGACAUUCUGUGUAUAAUUAAACCUUAGGUGAUGAUGUUGUUAGCUAAAUGGCCCUUCUCUCCAGUAGAAUAAUCUAGACAAUAAAAAUUAAAUAAAUGUCACUUAGAAAUGA